CUAGAAACACUAACGAAUAAGGGGUGGGCAAGUUCUGGUGUCAGCCGCCGCGGUAAAACCAGCACCUCAAGUGGUCAGGAUGAUUAUUGGGCCUAAAGCAUCCGUAGCCGGCUCUGUAAGUUUUCGGUUAAAUCUGUACGCUUAACGUACAGGCUGCCGGGAAUACUGCAAAGCUAGGGAGUGGGAGAGGUAGACGGUACUCGGUAGGAAGUGGUAAAAUGCUUUGAUCUAUCGAUGACCACCUGUGGCGAAGGCGGUCUACCAGAACACGUCCGACGGUGAGGGAUGAAAGCUGGGGGAGCAAACCGGAUUAGAUACCCGGGUAGUCCCAGCUGUAAACUAUGCAAACUCAGUGAUGCAUUGGCUUGUGGCCAAUGCAGUGCUGCAGGGAAGCCGUUAAGUUGCCGCCUGGGAAGU
rnacentral:rRNA from 1 species